AUGAGGACUAAUAUGUCUCUUACGGACCAACCAAUGAAAUUAAUCUUUCAGUACAAAAGCUGAAAUAAAAACAUAAGACGAGAAGACCCUGUGGAGCUUCAAACCAAACACACCCUGAAUGCUCCUAAGGUUUUCAGGUGGGGCGACUUCGGAGCACAAUAAAACCUCCAAAAUUUUUUAUCUUCAAGAUUAACAAACCAAAAACUUUAUUAGACCCAGCAAUGUAUAACAUUGUCUGAUCACUGAACCAAGUUACCCCAGGGAUAACAGCGCCAUCCCCUCCUAGAGUCCAUAUAGACAAGGGGGUUUACGACCUCCAGCAUGGAUC
rnacentral:rRNA from 1 species